rnacentral:rRNA from 1 species
UACGUAGGGUGCGAGCGUUGUCCGGAAUUAUUGGGCGUAAAGAGCUCGUAGGCGGUGUGUCGCGUCGGUCGUGAAAACUUGGGGCUUAACCCUGAGCUUGCGGUCGAUACGGGCAUCACUGGAGUUCGGCAGGGGAGACUGGAAUCCUGGUGUAGCGGUGAAAUGCGCAGAUAUCAGGAGGAACACCGGUGGCGAAGGCGGGUCUCUGGGCCGAUACUGACGCUGAGGAGCGAAAGCGUGGGGAGCAAACAGG